rnacentral:rRNA from 1 species
GACGAACGCUGGCGGCGUGCUUAACACAUGCAAGUCGAACGGAAAGGCCCUGCUUUUGUGGGGUGCUCGAGUGGCGAACGGGUGAGUAACACGUGAGUAACCUGCCCUUGACUUUGGGAUAACUUCAGGAAACUGGGGCUAAUACCGGAUAGGAGCUCCUGCUGCAUGGUGGGGGUUGGAAAGUUUCGGCGGUUGGGGAUGGACUCGCGGCUUAUCAGCUUGUUGGUGGGGUAGUGGCUUACCAAGGCUUUGACGGGUAGCCGGCCUGAGAGGGUGACCGGCCACAUUGGGACUGAGAUACGGCCCAGAAUCCUACGGGAGGCAACAGUGGGGAAUAUUGCACACUGGGCGGAAGCCAGAUGCAGCAACGCCGCGUGCGGGAUGACGGCCUUCGGGUUAUAAACCGCUUUCGCCUGUGACGAAGCGAGAGUGACGGUAAUGGGUAAAGAAGCACCGGCUAACUACGUG